CAGGAAGAAGACUAUUGUCCAUCAGUUUUUUUCUUUCUUUUUUUUUUCCUUUUUGUUCUUAUUCUUGCCUGAGCUUCUGGAACUAAUGAAUGAGAAAUUAUAAAAAAAAAAAAACUCCUACAACUUGGAGAUUAAUUUAUCCUUCAGCUAGAGACCUGGUAUGAAUACUUACAUGCUUGCCUCGAAUACAAACUUCACUAAAAAGGCACCCUAGAGCCAGAUAUUGGUUUUAACCCUUUUGGAUUUUAAACAUAUCCUGCCCAAAUAUUCUACCUGUUUUAUGUCCAAACCAGCCAGAUCCAGCCUCUCACACAUAUCCUACCAUGUCAUUCUGAAAAUGUACAACCAUUUCAUUGCAAUCUUGAAGUUAGGAGAUAAUUCAGAAUCAAUUCAAAACCAUGUGAAUAAAUAAGCAUAGCACUUGACGGGUUAAUCUGAUUGUUAAAGGGUUGAGCUAAGCAACAAAUCUACAUCUUAGAUCCAAGAUGGUCAACAAAGUAAUCAUAGCGACUCACAGAUUGCUUUACAUCAGCUUUCAGGUGUUGUACACUUUUGGAUAUGUUGCCUUUAUGCAUAAUGCAUUGUUCAAGUGAUUGUCUAUGUAAAAGCACAGAGUCAAAGCCAGAUUAUGUUGUGUUUAUUUGACCACCUAAUAUAUACUGAGACCAUGUGAUUUAAUCAUUUCCUUAUCAACCUUCCUCAGGUGUCCCUCCCCCCAUCUCCCUGGUUCAACAAUAUAAUACCUGCUUCUUUUAAAGCAUCCAUCUUUAAACCAAAACCCUCUGUCAAUUUUAGAUUAGAAACUUUUUGUUGCAUUACAAAGACCAAUUUUAAUAAUGACAAAGUUAACUUUUUUUUUUUUUCAAUCAAAUCCUCCUAAUGAAUUGUUUUUCAACAUGAAUUGUAGCACAAAAGUAUGUUUAUGUAUUUUUGCAUGAUUCCUGAUGUGAAAUCAUGUGUUGAAACAUAUUGUUAAUUUGGGGAUGGUCUUUUUUUUUUUCUUUUUCCUUCUCUCAUUCUGUCUUUGUCAUGUUGUGUAGUGUGGUGGAGGACAACUAAAGGCAGAAGGAAAAAAAAAGGGCACAGGCACAGUAGAAUACAUAAACCUAUAUACAUACACACACGUACACACACCACACAUACUUAAGAUGGAAAGAGAAGGAAAUUAGUAAAUAACCGUAUAAAAAAAAAACAAAUGAAUAAAACACGGGUACAGCAUAGUAAGCAAACCCAUAUACAUGCACCCAAAACACACUAUACGCAUAUGCUUCCACACACACACACACACACACACACAAUACAGAUGCAAACAAAUCCACAGAUAACAAUGCAUAUGACAGAAAGACAGAAUGGAUUAAACAGAAUAGGAGGAAACACAUGGGAUGGAGAGUUGCUGAAGAGGUCACAGGGUGUGUGACAAAAGAUUUCAGACAAAGGAUACUAAAAUAAAAAUGAUAACAAAGCUGAAGUGAUGAACGAGUAUAUAGUGCAUAUGGUUAAUUGGAGUGGGGGGGGGGGGGUAACCAUCCCCAAAUAUGACAAAGGUAGUUUGUUUCAUAAGCACCAUGAUUGAAGAAAAGGUUAACCCAUUAUCAUUUAAAGCAGCCAUAUCCGAACAAAAUCUUCUGCCUAUUUUACAUUCUAGCCAUCCAGAUCUGACCUCUCACACCAAUCCUACAAUGUCAUUCUAAAUAUAAACAGUAAUCUCAUCAAGAUCUCAAAGCUACAAGAUAAUGCAUGAUUAAUCCUGAACAACAUGAAUUAAUAAAUAUUACAUUUGAUAGAGUGAUGGAAAUACUCAAAGGGUUUUAUGUUCUGCCAGGAGCAUGGCUCUGGUUGGGUAUUGUGUCUCAAAACUCUCUCUCUCUCUCACGACCACACACACACACAAACUCUUCUCAUAUUUUCCUAUCGUGACAGUUAUAUCAAAUACAACGCUGUUGUUUGCUAGGAUGUAUGUGUGUAUAUAUAUAUAUAUAUACACACACCUGAAAAGACAAAAGGAAAUGCUAAAACACCACAGACCGAAUGGUACCUGUGGGACAUAUGUCCCUCCCCCUGGGGUUGAGUAAUAGCCAUUUCAAAAACGUCCAUCCUCUCUGCCCCCACCCUGUGUGUGUGUAUAUAUAUAUAUAUAUAUUACAAUUAGCAGCACACUCAUGUUGUUGAAAACUGAUUUCCCUUAUGCAACACUUCCAUAAUAACAUCUGGUGGUUUUACUCAACUGUCUUCUUUAACUCUGCUUAAACACUAUUAGGUGAAAACAGAUGCACUAGUUUUCCUUUUUUAUUCCUUCCAUGAUGCCAGCAGCAGUGGAUUGGCAAGAUAAAAUGCUUUAUGGUAUUUCAACUGUUUACAUUCUGAGCUCAAAUCCUACCAAGGUUAACUUAGUUUUUCAUCGCUCUAGAGGUUAAGAUAAAGUACUAGAGAAGCACUGAGACAAUUUCGGACAUAAAUGUUUACCGGGCCCCUUUGAAUGUGUGUUUUAGUAGAGUGCGGGGCCCUCAGGCAGUGUCGAUUGACCGACGGCUCAGUUCGUUCCUGCUUUCAUCCCUUUCAGGGUUGAUAAAAUGGAUUAUAACUUUUGGGACUAAAUUAUUGUCUGCCUCAAAGGCACAAAACUAAGAGAUGACCCUUUGACAAAAAACGAUAACAAUAUUGCCAUCUUUAGGUGAUUUUUAUUUUCGUUGAAGUACAAAUGUGCAUGUGGGUACACACAUACGUACACACACAAAAUGGGAUUUUUCACUUUCUGUCUGUCAAAUUCACUCACAAGGCUUUAAUCAACCUGGGGCUAUAGUAGAAGGUACUUACUCAAGGUAUUGCACUGUGGAACUGAACCCUAAACCGCUUAGUUGAGAAGCAAAUUUUCUAACCGCACAACCAUUCCUGUACUUGCGCGCGCGUACACAUGCAAAUGUUUCUAGAUAGGAUUCAAUUCAAGCUAGGAACCUUUAUUUUUGAUCUAACACAAAUAAGAAUAAUAACAAUAAAGUUGAAGUGAAGCCUAAUAGUAUCUUUAACCACUAAACCAUUAUGAUUUAUACACACUGUCAAGAAGAUAUGUACAUACUCUCCCACAAACGCACGUGUAUUUGUGUGUUGGUGUGGUAACUUCUUAGGAACCUCUCUAUGUACAUUUUUGCCUAAUCGAAGCAUUUAUUCACUGACGUUGCUCAAUAACCAAUUGGAAAUUAGUUGAAGCUACGUCCAGUAUUUACGAGCAAUAAGUUAAUGAAAAGAAUCAGUCUUGAAUGUAUCCCUUUAAGAGUCGUAUUAUUAUAUAUAUAUAUAUACAAUACAAAAGAAAGACAAAGAAAAAUACAUCAAAGCAGUACUAAGUGCUUCAGUUGGUCGCACACCUCAAGGUGCAACAGAACCUACUAAAGCAAGCCACGCUCGCAGCAUUAUCACGAGCGAUGGUGAGGCUAAGGCGUUGGAAAAGCCAAGCACCUUUACGGGUAUCACCUGACACCCCAGUAAGGCGAGCUGCUCAUGAUGACAAGAACUUUGCGGUUACUAACCCGUGAUUACUCGCUUUUUUUUUUUUUUUUUUUUGCAGCUGAUGACGAUUGAGAUAGACUCUCAUGUACCCCUAUUGUAAAUCGCAGUUAGUCACUUAGCUAGAAUAUAAAUCGACUAGAACUUAUAAGGAGAAUUGGAGCAAGGAUGUUUACAAACAAUCGAAAAAAUUCCAUCUUAAUAUUUACGUGAAAUUACCAAGUGUGAUCAUUGGUUCUCUAGCAGGAUCUAUAUAUGAUUUUGUUGUUAAAUUGCUUAUACUCCUACAAUACACAAAAUAUUUUAACUGUUUUAGACAAUUCCCAAUAAUAUUCAAUUAUGAAAAUAAGAUUUCUUAAUCUUCGAAUGACCGAGAUUUCCGACCGAGUAAAAUAGGUAUCCCAUAAAUCUAUAUUCUAAUAGCGAGGUUAAUAAUGUGGAAAAUUAUAAUCAUUUUUAACAGUAAUUCCCCAAAUACGUUUUGUUUAAUUCCAGUCAGAUAUCAUGUGCACUUACUCAGGAUUAAAUCACUUUUGAAACUUAGUGUAGAUUGUAAACACUGUAAAUAUACCCAGUGAAUGAAGAUGAGGCUAUUUAUGUAUUUUAAUUACAAUACGUAUAACCGAAGAUUAUAUAAACUGUAAUAUAUAGACAUGAAUAUUUUAAUUGUCAAUCUAUGCCAUAUUAAGGCGGCGAGCUUCAGAAUUGUUAGCAUACCGGCAAAAAUGCCUAGAGGUAUUUUGUCCGUCUUUAUGUUCCGUGUUCAAAUUCUGCUGGGGUCGACUUCGCCUUUCAACUUUUCGGGGUCGAUAAAAUAAGUACCAUUUGAGCAUUGAGGUCGAUUUAAUCCGACUUGAAACCAAUAUACACCACACGUGUACAUAUAUAUUUCGAAUAAGUAGUAAAUAUUGAUUGUAUCUGAGAAAGUACUUUUUGGCUUUAUCACUACUCUCACCUUAACCCAUUAACUGCCAAAUUUUUUUAUUCAUAUUUUUUGGUUUUACCAGGUGUCUUAGGAGUUAAAAUAGUAUAUAGUAUUUAAAUUUUCCUCAUAUGUGAAUUAUUUUGGAGAUAAUGAUAAAUUUUUCAAUAAGUCCCAAAUGGAGAACGCUGAAAAAAAAGCAUGUUUAUCCUUUUCUGUUCAAUUGCAAUAAUAAACAUUUUAGUUUUUCUGAAACUAUAGUAUCAAAUGCGAAUGUGUAUGAAAUAUGAAUGAAUGGGAUAAAUGGGAGAUGCAAAACAAUGUUUUCGAAACAGUCAAUUUUGUAGUUCAAAAAUUGCGAUUUAUGACAAAAUGUCCUCUAGAAUUAGCCAUAGCUAGAGCUAAUGGUGACAACUACAAAUAUUGUUAAAAACACCUCGAACAACCGGUGGUGAGACUUUUUUUUAGCAGACCCCCAAAUGGGGUCAUGGCACGCAAUGGGUUCAUAUAAUUUAAGAUUAAUCUCCCCCUCCCUAAAUGCUCACGACACUAACGGAAAUAGGGAUUACUUACUUUGUGCUCAAAGCAGGUCAUAAGUGAUCCAAGAGUACAAGUCAUUGACAAAAAUGAAUUAAGAUACUUUGUGUGUAAAUUGAGCGAUUUUGAAACAACUAAUAUCGUGAGCUGUCUUUUCUGAGAGCAAUAGACAAAAACAAAGGAUAAUCUUGCUAACAACAAUUCUGCUCAGAUAAUAGGGUGUUUCAUUUCCGCUCUCUUGAACUGAACUAUGGAGAAGACCUCCAAGAGAGAGAAAGCAGCUGCUCGAACCAGAUAUUUUGCAGCAUGUUACAUGCGAUCAUUCCUCGUAAAUAUGAUCGGCAGGAGAACUUUCUUGGUGCAAUCUUAUGGUCAUUCAUGACCGAAAGGGGGUCUCUGUACCUUAUUUAUAUAUAUAUAUAUAUAUGAAAUGUGUGUGAGUUUACCUGUAAGGUACUUGGAAUUCCUACACCAGUGGAUUUUGAAUUUUACCAAGUUUGAGUCGAAGAGCCGUAGGCAGAUCGAAAGUACGAACAAUUCAACAUGUCUGAUUAACAAAGUUCUGUUGGCGGUUGUUUAAUCACAUUUUCGGCAAGAUGACAUGAUUUCAAGGCACGAUCGACCAAAUGAAUGUUUGGGAUGAAUUCAUUCGUGCGUGUUAUAAUAGACAAAACACUUGAUAAUCUCCGAUUGAAUGCAUAAAACAUGGUUGGUACCUUCCAGAGUAGCAUUGCACCAAACCUCCAAGAUAUAUGCCCUAGUCGACCUUUAUCGUUGCACUGUAUAUUUUUGCCAGAAAUACUUAUAAAAGACGAAAUAAAAAUGAAGAGACGAAGAAUGUAUGUUACUGCUUGGAAUCGAACUCGGAAUCUUGGGGUUAGUAGCCUGAGCUCUUAACCACUACGCCAUAUGCCCGUGGGCAUAUGGAGGUUGUUCAGUAAGAAUUUGCAGAAACCUCAUCUAUCGCCUACGACAGGACA